UCUUCGGAUCUAGUGGCAGACGGGUGAGUAACGCGUGGGAACCUGCCCAGUAGUAGAGGACAACUUGGGGAAACUUAAGCUAAUACUUUAUACGUCCUUCGGGAGAAAGCUUUAUGCGCUAUUGGAUGGGCCCGCGUUAGAUUAGUUUGUUGGUGAGGUAAUGGCUCACCAAGACUACGAUCUAUAGCUGGUCUGAGAGGAUGAUCAGCCACACUGGGACUGAGACACGGCCCAGACUCCUACGGGAGGCAGCAGUGGGGAAUAUUGGACAAUGGGGGCAACCCUGAUCCAGCGAUGCCGCGUGAGUGAUGAAGGCCCUAGGGUUGUAAAACUCUUUCGUCAGGGAAGAUAAUGACGGUACCUGAAGAAGAAGAUCCGGCUAACUCCGUGCCAGCAGCCGCGGUAAUACGGAGGGAUCUAGCGUUAUUCGGAAUUACUGGGCGUAAAGCGAGCGUAGGCGGAUUUGUAAGUUGGAGGUGAAAUCCCAGAGCUUAACUCUGGAACUGCCUUCAAAACUACAUUCUUUGAGUUUGG
rnacentral:rRNA from 1 species